CAACAGAUUCCAUCUUGAAAGUGGCUCGCCGGAGACGUUCAUCUGCACUGUCCCGAUGUUCCAUGUCUACGGGCUGGCGGCUUUCGCCACCGGGCUGCUGGGGUCGGGGUCGACGAUUGUGAUACUGUCGAGGUUUGAUAUGGGGGAGAUGAUUGGCUCUUUAAGAGCUUAUGGCGCGACGUAUCUGCCUCUGGUGCCGCCGAUUCUGGUGGCGAUGGUGAAUGCUGCGCGGAAACUGCCGCUGGCCGGGUUGAGGAAGGUUUUGUGCGGCGGGGCGCCGCUGAGCAAGGAGGUGAUUGAGGGGUUUAGGGAGAAGUAUCCUGCGGUGGAAAUUUUGCAGGGGUAUGGGUUGACGGAGAGCACGGGGAUUGGGGCGAGUACGGACUCGGCG
rnacentral:misc_RNA from 1 species